CCUACGGGGGGCAGCAGUGGGGAAUAUUGCACAAUGGGGGAAACCCUGAUGCAGCGACGCCGCGUGAGUGAAGAAGUAUUUCGGUAUGUAAAGCUCUAUCAGCAGGGAAGAAAAUGACGGUAGCUGAUUAAGAAGCCCCUGCUAACUACGGGCCAGCAGCCGCGGUAAUACGUAGGGGGCAAGCGUUAUCUGGAUGUACUGGGGGUAAAGGGAGCGGAGGCGGCAGAACAAGGCUGGAGUGAAAUGCCGGGGCUUAACCCCGGAACUGCUUUGGAAACUGUGCAGCUAGAGUGCAGGAGAGGUAAGUGGAAUUCCUGGUGUAGCGGUGAAAUGCGUAGAUAUUAGGAGGAACACCAGUGGCGAAGGCGGCUUACUGGACUGUAACUGACGUUGAGGCUCGAAAGCGUGGGGAGCGAACAGGAUUAGAUACCCUAGUAGUC
rnacentral:rRNA from 1 species